UACGUAGGGAGCAAGCGUUGUUCGGAUUUACUGGGCGUAAAGGGCGCGUAGGCGGCAAAUUAAGUCAGCUGUGAAAUCCCCGAGCUUAACUCGGAACUGUCAGCUGAUACUGAUCUGCUAGAGUGCGGAAGGGGCAAUCGGAAUUCUUGGUGUAGCGGUGAAAUGCGUAGAUAUCAAGAGGAACACCUGAGGUGAAGACGGGUUGCUGGGCCGACACUGACGCUGAGUGCGCGAAAGCCAGGGGAGCAAACGGG
rnacentral:rRNA from 1 species